AGUGAACGCUGGCGGUAGGCCUAACACAUGCAAGUCGAACGGCAGCACAGUAAGAGCUUGCUCUUACGGGUGGCGAGUGGCGGACGGGUGAGGAAUACAUCUGAAUCUACUUUUUCGUGGGGGAUAACGUAGGGAAACUUACGCUAAUACCGCAUACGACCUACGGGUGAAAGCAGGGGAUCUUCGGACCUUGCGCGAUUGAAUGAGCCGAUGUCGGAUUAGCUAGUUGGCGGGGUAAAGGCCCACCAAGGCGACGAUCCGUAGCUGGUCUGAGAGGAUGAUCAGCCACACUGGAACUGAGACACGGUCCAGACUCCUACGGGAGGCAGCAGUGGGGAAUAGUGGACAAUGGGCGCAAGCCUGAUCCAGACAUACCGCGUGGGUGAAGAAGGCCUUCGGGUUGUAAAGCCCUUUUGUUGGGAAAGAAAAGCAGCAGGUUAAUCCCCCGCUGUUCUGACGGUACCCAAAGAAUAAGCACCGGCUAACUUCGUG
rnacentral:rRNA from 1 species